GGCUUGUAUGAAUGGUUGAAUGAGAUAUAAGCUAUUUAUAUUUAAUUAAAAAUGAAUUUUAAUUGUUAAUAAAAAUGUUAACAUAAAAAAAAAAGACGAGAAGACCCUAUAAAUCUUUAUUUUAAAUUUAUUAAAAAUUAUUAUGAAAAUUAUUAUUUUUAUUAAAUCAAAAAUUUUAUUGGGGUGAUAAUGAAAUUUAAUAAACUUUUAUUUUAUUUUUCAAUUAUAUUUGGUUAAUUGAUCCAUUUUUAAUGAUUAAAAAAUUAAGUUACUUUAGGGAUAACAGCGUAAUUAUUUUUUAGAGUUCUUAUCGAUAAAAUAGUUUGCGACCUCGAUGUUGAAUUAA
rnacentral:rRNA from 1 species